AUUGAACGCUGGCGGCAGGCCUAACACAUGCAAGUCGAGCGGAUGAACGGAGCUUGCUCCUGGAUUCAGCGGCGGACGGGUGAGUAAUGCCUAGGAAUCUGCCUGGUAGUGGGGGAUAACGUCCGGAAACGGGCGCUAAUACCGCAUACGUCCUGAGGGAGAAAGUGGGGGAUCUUCGGACCUCACGCUAUCAGAUGAGCCUAGGUCGGAUUAGCUAGUUGGUGGGGUAAAGGCCUACCAAGGCGACGAUCCGUAACUGGUCUGAGAGGAUGAUCAGUCACACUGGAACUGAGACACGGUCCAGACUCCUACGGGAGGCAGCAGUGGGGAAUAUUGGACAAUGGGCGAAAGCCUGAUCCAGCCAUGCCGCGUGUGUGAAGAAGGUCUUCGGAUUGUAAAGCACUUUAAGUUGGGAGGAAGGGCAGUAAGUUAAUACCUUGCUGUUUUGACGGUACCAACAGAAUAAGCACCGGCUAACUUCGUG
rnacentral:rRNA from 1 species